CCUACGGGGUGCAGCAGUGAGGAAUAUUGGUCAAUGGGCGGGAGCCUGAACCAGCCAAUUCGCGUGAGGGAAGACGGUCCUACGGAUUGUAAACCUCUUUUGCCGGGGAGCAACGGGGUCCUUGCGAGUGCCCGAUGAGAGUACCCGGCGAAAAAGCAUCGGCUAACUCCGUGCCAGCAGCCGCGGUCAUACGUAGGAUGCGAUCGUUCUCCGGAUUUAUUGGGUUUAACGGGUGCGUAGGCCGGCUGUUAAGUCAGCGGUAACAUGUCGGGGCUCAACCCCGGCCGGCCGUUGAAACUGGCGGCCUCGAGUGGGCGAGAAGUAUGCGGAAUGCGUGGUGUAGCGGUGAAAUGCAUAGAUAUCACGCAGAACUCCGAUUGCGAAGGCAGCAUACCGGCGCCCGACUGACGCUGAGGCACGAAAGCGUGGGUAUCGAACAGGAUUAGAUACCCUAGUAGUC
rnacentral:rRNA from 1 species